rnacentral:rRNA from 1 species
GAUGAACGCUGGCGGCGUGCCUAAUACAUGCAAGUCGAGCGAACAGACGAGGAGCUUGCUCCUCUGACGUUAGCGGCGGACGGGUGAGUAACACGUGGAUAACCUACCUAUAAGACUGGGAUAACUUCGGGAAACCGGAGCUAAUACCGGAUAAUAUAUUGAACCGCAUGGUUCAAUAGUGAAAGACGGUUUUGCUGUCACUUAUAGAUGGAUCCGCGCCGCAUUAGCUAGUUGGUAAGGUAACGGCUUACCAAGGCAACGAUGCGUAGCCGACCUGAGAGGGGGAUCGGCCACACUGGAACUGAGACACGGUCCAGACUCCUACGGGAGGCAGCAGUAGGGAAUCUUCCGCAAUGGGCGAAAGCCUGACGGAGCAACGCCGCGUGAGUGAUGAAGGUCUUCGGAUCGUAAAACUCUGUUAUUAGGGAAGAACAAAUGUGUAAGUAACUGUGCACGUCUUGACGGUACCUAAUCAGAAAGCCACGGCUAACUACGUG